GUGAGGCGACAUCCAUAUGGGCGAAGCCCAUAUUUAGGAUGAUGUCGCCGACCUGCCGCCGAGCGAAUGCGAGGGGGCGAUACCCGUG
rnacentral:sRNA from 12 species